GCGCCUUUAACAGAAAGCUGUUGGUCAUCUGUUGAUUUUCCUAUUACAGCUCCACGAUCAGAUCCGAUAACCUGAACGACAGUCCGGACCCUCUUCCGCACAUGCAUGGGUAACAGUCCUCCAUUAACAAAAAUUGCAGGUUUUGAUGUAUCCAUACCCCGAUUGUCCAGAAAAGCUUGCCUCGAGAAAGAUAAGAGCACACUGAGAAUCAAUGGGCGAUG
rnacentral:misc_RNA from 1 species